rnacentral:rRNA from 1 species
CCUACGGGAUGCAGCAGUGAGGAAUAUUGGUCAAUGGACGCAAGUCUGAACCAGCCAUGCCGCGUGCAGGAUGACGGCUCUAUGAGUUGUAAACUGCUUUUGUACGAGGGUAAACCCCGAUACGUGUAUCGGGUUGAAAGUAUCGUACGAAUCAGGAUCGGCUAACUCCGUGCCAGCAGCCGCGGUAAUACGGAGGAUUCGAGCGUUAUCCGGCUUUAUUGGGUUUUUAGGGUUGGUAGGCGGUUUGAUUAGUUAGAGGUGAAAUGUCGGGGCUCAACCCCGAAAAGGCCUCUAAAACUGGUGAACUAGAGUACAGUUGCGGUGAGCGGAAUGUAUGGUGUAGCGGUGAAAUGCUUAGAGAUCAUACAGAACACCGAGUGCGAAGGCAGCUUACCAAACUAUAUCUGACGUUGAGGCACGAAAGCGUGGGUAGCAAACAGGAUUAGAUACCCGGGUAGUC